rnacentral:rRNA from 1 species
UACGAAGGGGGCUAGCGUUGCUCGGAAUCACUGGGCGUAAAGGGUGCGUAGGUGGCUUGUUAAGUCAGUGGUGAAAUACAGCCGCUCAACGGUUGAGGUGCCAUUGAUACUGACAAGCUUGAAACAAGUGGAGGUUGCCGGAAUGGAUGGUGUAGCGGUGAAAUGCAUAGAUAUCAUCCAGAACACCGAUUGCGAAGGCAGGUGGACUACGUUUGAUUUGACACUGAGGCACGAAAGCAUGGGGAGCAAACAGG